CUUGAACGACCCGAGCCACAGCGGCUGGUCGGCCGCACGGUUCUGGCCGUACGUCGCCAGGAGCGCCUGGGCCUC
rnacentral:antisense_RNA from 1 species